rnacentral:lncRNA from 1 species
UGGCAAGGAGCUGGAGAAGAGAGGAGAAUAGGAGAGCUGCUGGCUGAGACGAUGGCUGGUGAUCGUGGCUAUGGAGACACCGGAGCCUGAGAAGGCCAUUGAGACCAGGAAAAGAAGUUCCUUGGGUGAUCUGGACCCCACAAAGACCCUGAUUUUGAAACAAGCCCUGAAUCAUUUCAGUUUUUAAUAGAUACUUGUGAAGUUCUAGCCACUGGAGCUGGUAACUUAGUAGGUAAUAUCCUGUAAAACCUGGCCUUGUCUGGCUUUAGAUACAUUCACGUUAUAGACAUGGAUAGGCACUAUAUAUGUUUUUAGUCUAAAUACAGUUUUUAUUUAGGCCUAAAGAUGAUGAGAGACCCAAGGCUGAAGUUGUUGCAGGGUCCCUAAAUGACAGCGUUCCUAACUGCAACAGAGUCCCACAUUUCAACAAGCAUCUUAAUGAUACUUCCCACAGACAAUCUCUUAUUAUUGUACGUGGCCCGGGCUCUGUCCUAGCCAGAGGACAGAGCAAUGGAAUGCUAAUAUCACCUCUAUAUUAUGAAGAUGGUACGUUGGAUCCAAGCUCCAUUGUCCCUUUGCUAGGUGGGGAACAGAGACUUUAAAGGAAAUGCCCAGGUGAUUUUUAUGACUGUGUGUACCGAGUGCACACUGAAACUUUCUCUACCACAGGCCAGUUCUCCAUAUGAACCACUGCAUCCCUGCCCAGGCCACUGGGACACUGUAUCGAGUGUGUCAGAAUGUGGCAGUGGCCCAAAGAACAGCCUUUUGUAGAUGGGGUUCCAUUAGAUGGAGAUGACCCUUAACAUAAAGUCAGUGGAUUUCCCAAAAGUCUGAAAGAAAGUGUCAUGCUAAUAUCAUAUAAGAGGGAUUACCUACUGGCUCUUUCCAGGGGUAGUAGAAUAAAUCAUUCCUGCAGCAGCGCCCACAAAUGCAGCCACUGCGGCUGAGGCUUUAAAGAUAACCACAGGUGCAUACAUUCCCCUUAAUAAAUUAUUUUGUAUCCAGUGAUGUAGAUGGACUGUACACAUACACAUUGGAAACAGAAAAACAGGAAAACUGUCCCACUUAUAAUCGGCUUCCUCAAAACAUUCCAGUAUUCGUUCCCUGUGAACUAAACUACAAGAGGUUUUGGACUAUCUAACCAAUAGUGCUUCUCUGCAAAUGAACGCUCCAGCUGCUCUCACAGGCACAGUAGAGAGAAAACAAUGGACACUUUGCAUACAGUCAGUAAUAUCUACUGAAGAACAAAGAAGACUAAAUCUCUGCAAGUUGUUAAAAGAACUAGGACUCAUCGAUGGACAAGAACUGGCUGUCGCUGACAUUACCACACCAGACUGUACUGUGUAAACCUCAUUUUACU